ensembl:lincRNA Gm26767 predicted gene, 26767
GAUCCUUGUAAUUUACAAUUUUAUUAACAUUUCCACGAUUAUAUAAUUAAGAUGAACUGCAUCUUGCUCGUUUUUUUCCUUUGUAACAGGAAUCCAAAAUCUAGUGAUUGAAGCAGGUCUUACUUUUCUUGUGCAUGAGCGGGGGGGGUUGUCCAGAGGGUUGUGGUAGCUCCCCUCUGCUCCUGGCAUCCACAUUCCUUUCUUUCCAUUCAGUCCCAUAGCAUGUGCUUCUGAUUGCCUUGUCACUACUGGCUGGGUGGCUUCAAGCAUGAUGGUCUCAUUCCAGACAAGAUGAAGUAGAGAGAACAAGACGUGGGCAGAGUGGAGAGAGGCACACUGGUCUUUAUCCAUUGUCAAAACCAAGGAGACAAACACACUGAGUAUGCAUCAUGCGUUUGAAAAGCGCAUAUGCAUGGACUUGGACAGCUACUACCAAGCUCUCCAACUGCUCUAGCCAAGGCUCAGUGAUUAGCAGCUGAAAAGCAAGUAUGAAACCCAGUGAGUAGCAGCAUACAAAGAAUCAGCUUCAAAGACUAAACACCUAACCAAGAUAUGUCUGGUAUGUCCAGGCCAGAGCUGUUGGGAAGGUACAGGACCUAGAUAGGCUCAUCUACAUGUGAUGCCUCUGGAAAACUUCAAUUCCUACCCUAGUGCUCAAAAUAGGUACCAGACCAAAGAAAUCUACUUCACAGAGAUGGAGACAUCCCUGGGUCCAUCAGCAUAAUCUGACAGGUCUGAUCUAGCUAUUGCUGCCACCUAGUGGCCGUCUUCCUUUAAUGGCGGCCGAAAUCUAAAUGCUAAGCAUGGUAAGUUCCUUGAGGCCAGGAAACCACAGAGAAGCUGGCGAUCAACUUACAUUUGAGAAGGUUCAGGAAUGUGUUCUAAAGGAACUUGACUUGAAUUUCAUGUGUGUUUGAUUCUUCCUGCCUGCCUCACGAGGACCACCAUUUGUGAACUAGGAAUGUGGUCUGCUUGUCAAAUGGGCCACUUCAAAGGGAAGAGUGUGGGAAAUUGGAACUAUGACCACAGGCCUCUUGUAUCAUGUACCACACCUAAGCUUCUGGCAUUAAAGGUCUUUGCAAUGGUUUAACGAAGGUACAUGUGAAGACUUAGCACACAAGUAACACUCAAAAGUAGCAUAUACACACUGAAGAUGAAAGAUUAUGUGGUUCUUCUGCAAGGGGCAGAGUCACUCAGGGCCCUUUUGGGCCCUGCAAAAUUAGAGGCCCAGAUUUCCAAAGACCGAAGUAUUUCUGCAAAGGUAAGUGUCUAUUUGAAUUAUAAGAUUUGCCACAAUGGCUCUGUAUAUCUAGAAGCAGGAAGAGCCAUCGGUUUAGUCAAUGGAACUGACUGUCAUAAUUCAGUGAAAGAUUGGAACUUGGUUCUUAAAAUAACAGGUUGGAAUAUGAUGGUAUGUCAAAGAUCCACUUGUGGUUCUGGCCCACUUUCUAUGGCAACUAGACAGCAGACUCGUUUUCUAAAAGGGGUACAGUAACCAGAUACCAGUCCUUUCAGAUUUUUUUGGUUUUUUGGGAGGUUUGGGUUUCACUCAGUGCAGUGUCACUGAAACUCACAUUAAGAGCUAAGGGGAGGGCUGGUGAGACAUGUAUGUCUGUUGCCAUGAAGGCCAGAACAGGGUGUUGGAAUCCCUGCAAUUGAGUCACAGACUAGUCUUUCGUUGUUGUUUUGUUUUUUGAGACAAGGUAUCACUGUAUAGUCCUGGCUGUCCUGGCCUCCAAUUCAGAGAUCCUCUGCCUCCCAGUGCACCGCCAUGGCCCUUUAUAAGAGCAGUCAGGAGCUCCUAACUGCUGAGCCAUCUCUCCAGGCUGACAUUACUUCUACUAAGAGUUUAUCUAUAGGGAUAUCUUGACAUCUACAUGAUAAGGUCCCACAUCAAUCUACAUGACCUAUACUGUGUUUUAUGCUCCCACAGGACAACACACACCUGGUCACAAGGGGAGUUUGGGACAAAGCUCUACAAGCCUGCAAAUCAGCAUUAACCACCUGUACUGCAGAAGUUUACAUGGGUGCCAUUCUGGAAAACUCACAUUAACUCACAAAAGCAAACAAGUGAGUGCAGACAGGAAUGGGACUAUCGUCCCACUACUGUUAUUUAUUCUCUCCUCUUCUCCUUGGUUGCUGUGCAUGCCCAAAUAAUGUAAUCAUUUUUUAAAGAGAGAGAAACUAUAGGGCAUGUACAAACUCAUGGCUACUGCACCCACCAUGCUGGACGAUGAACGAAUAACUGUGACCAGGAAGGAAAUUUUUUUAAAAAGUCCUAGAGAAAAAUGAAAAUACAACAUUCCAAAAUCCAUGGAAAAAUUAUGAAGGUGGUCUUAAGUGGGCAGUUUACAGCUAUUGGUGCCUCCAGUAAGAAGUUAAAGACAGCAAAUGAAUUUACUUAAUGAUACAACUUAGGGCCUUGGAAAAACAAAAACAAAUCAAAUCCCAAUCCCUCCAUGGGAAAAAAAUAGUGCCAUCAGGGAAGAAAUCAAUGAAAUAGAAACAAUAACAAAAUACUAGGAGUCAAUGAAACAAAAAUUUGGUUAAACAGCUAGAUGUAGUUGUUAAACCCUCAGCUAGACUAAAAGAAGAAAUAGGAAUUAAUUAUUAAGAAAGAAAGAAAGAAAGAAAGAAAGAAAGAAAGAAAGAAAGAAAGGAAGGAAGGAAGGAAGGAAGGAAGGAAGGAAGGAAGGAAGGAAGGAAGGAAGGAAGGAAGGAAGGAAGCAGACCGUUGGUAGUGGCCCACUCUGGAAGCAGAGGUAGGUAGGUGAUCCUCUGUGAGUUUAAGGCCAGCCUAAUCUACAAAGUGAGUUCCAGGACAGGUACGGUACACACAGAGAAAUUCUGUCUCAACAAAGCAAAAUAAAUUAGAAGAAAGGGGGGCCAUCACAACAGACACUGAUGAAGUGUAUAACAUCAUUAGGUCUUACCUUAAAAAGUAACAUCCCACUAAGUUGGAAAAGCUGAAAGAAAUGGCUGAAUUUAUAGAUGCAUAUGGCCUACAAAAAUAACAUGAAGAUGAGCAAUUAUUAUUACAUUAGUAAUUCAAAAUCUAAAAACAAAAAAGCCCAGGUUAUCAGACUUUCCAGUGUUCCUCCAGUGUUCCUAGGCUAUAAAAGGAAGAGACAUUACCAAACUCCUUUACGAUGCUCCUAUUCGCCUGAUACCGAACCAAGAUGAAACAAAACUCUACAUCAAUUUCCCUGAUGAACAUAGACACAAAGAUUAUCAACAAGCUACUUGCAAACAGAAUUCAAAAAUACAUUUAAAAAGAUCAUUCACAACCAUGAAGCUAGUUUUAGUCCAGAGAUAGAGACUGUUUAAUAUACUUAUCAAUAAAUGUUAUGCCUUUCACGUUAAAGUCUCAAGUGCACUCAGAAUAAAAGGAACCUCAGUAUCGAAAAAGUGACACGACAAACCUGUAUUUUGUUAAUAUAAUCCAAAGGUGUCCAUUUUCUAUACUCUUAUUCAAUCAUACUAGAAGUCUUAAACUAAAGCCACAACCUAAGCAGACAAAUAAAAGAAAACCAGGAAAGAAGUCCAAACACCUCUAUUUGUAGAUGGUAUGAUUCUAUACACAAAAGAAUAUAAAGAAACUACCAAAAAAACUCUUAAAACUGUUGAACACAGGGCUGGAGAGAUGGCUCAGUGGUUAAGAGCACUGACUGCUCUUCCAGAGGUCCUGAGUUCAAUUCCCAGCAACCACAUGGCGGCUCACAACCAUCUGUAAAUGGAACCAGAUGCCCUCUUCUGCUGUGUCUGAAGACAGCUACAGUGGACUCAUAAAUAAAAUAAAUUCUCAAAUAUAAAAAUUGUUAAAAAUACAUUAAGAUGUGACUGACACAAAAUAUUCUUUUAAGCCGGUGGUGGUGGCACACGCU